rnacentral:lncRNA from 1 species
AGCGAAACUUACCACAGCUCCGGUGUUAGGUUUUGCUAAUCCUAAACUCCCUUACGUAUUACACACAGACGCAAGUACAACAGGACUAGGGGCAGCCCUGUAUCAAGAUCAGGAGGGGGAGAUGCGCGUAAUAGCUUACGCUAGCAGAGGUCUGUCGAGAAGCGAAACGCGAUACCCCGCUCACAAACUUGAGUUUUUAGCCCUUAAAUGGGCCGUAACGGAAAAGUUUUGUGACUAUCUUUAUGGCAGUCCUUUCACAGUCCUAACUGACAGUAAUCCUCUAACUUACAUUUUAACAACAGCUAAGUUAGACGCGACAAGUUAUCGCUGGUUGUCCGCCCUGUCCUCCUUCGAGUUCCAACUUCAGUAUAGGGCAGGCAAACAAAACGUAGACGCAGACGGCUUGUCUCGUCGUCCCCAUCCAGAACCAGUAAAUGACUUAGUCUCUCUGAAAGAACAGGAAAGAAUCAGUCAGUUUGUCAACCAUCACUUACCUGGCACCAAUCCGUUCAUUCAGGUCACUUCAGAUACUGUCAAUGCAAUCUGUGAGAGACACCUAAUACUCCAUCCUUUUGACUCUGAUAACCGUGCUCUUCCUUGUCCUCUCGUAACAUCCUGUUCGAUGUCUGCCCAAGCUGUUCCAGACAGUUUUGAUCAUUGUUAUGGUUUCCCAGUCAUCCAAAGUAUUUCUGAGGAAGAACUCAAACAAAGUCAAAGAAAUGACCCAGCCAUAAAUGUAAUCAUACACCAACUUGAAACAGGUGAAACUUCUCCUCCUACAGUCCGCAAAGAAAUUCCAGAACUGUCCAUCCUUCUGCGUGAACUAAACAAACUUGAGUUUCAGAAUGGGAUUCUUUAUAGAAAAAGAAAAGUUGGUGAAAACACUCAAUGGCAACUCGUUCUUCCUGAAAGUCUCAGAGAAAUGGUGUUAAAAACGCUUCACGAUGACAUGGGUCAUCUCGGAACAGAACGGACUCUCGACCUUGCAAGAACCAGGUUUUUCUGGCCAAAAAUGGCAUUUGAUAUCGAACAGAAAAUCAAGACCUGUCAAAGGUGUGUUUGCAGAAAAACACUGCCAGAGAAGGCAGCGCCCCUUGUAAACAUUCAAGUCACCAGACCCCUAGAAUUGCUAUGCAUUGACUUUCUGAGCAUUGAACCUGACCGUAGCAAUACUAAAGAUGUCUUGGUAAUGACAGACUUCUUUACGAAGUAUGCAAUUGCCACUCCCACUCCAAACCAAAAGGC